AACAAUAACUUCAUCUUGGAGCUGCAUCAAUUCGACAUUACAAUGUCAAGAGGUUCACUAGCCACAUUUCACCAGCAAAUACAACGUCAAGUAUUAGUGCAUAAAAGAUAAACCUUAGAGUAGAGAGCUCAAAUUAUUUCAGUUUGUAACUAUUUGUACAAUUGCAAACCACAGAAAAACAACAACAGGCUAGCCACUUCCGCCUGAAUAAGCUUGUAAUCUUGACCUUCUCAGUACAUUUUUCACCAUCUCAAUAUAUAAAAUCUUGAUCUUGAACUCAGGAAGCCUUGAAGCAUUCAUUUUAUCCCAAUGGUACUCAACAGAAACAUAUGUUUUGUGUUUUUAGCCACUCUUUCAACUGAUAGUUUGCAUGUGGUUGGCUUACUAGCUAAAUUUUUAGUCUUUCCAUUGAAGAUUGGUACAAAAACCUUGAAAC
rnacentral:misc_RNA from 1 species